CUCGGCUCGGCUCGGCUCGGUUUUCUCUUCGGUCCUUUCUCAGGCCGGGCGCUGGGAGUCUCUCGCCGGCAGUAUGCAAGGAGGAGCAAAUUUCUUUCUCAAAACAAACCCCAGAGCCAAAGGGUUAAACGUCCAGUCUGCAGCCCCCUCGCCCCAACCCCUGGAUGUGACUCGGGAGCUCUUCAGAAAGAAGGGAGGCAAGGACGCCUUAAAAAGUCCUGGGACUCUCAGGACAGCUCAGAUGCUCAGAGGAAGAGGAGGUCUUCUGAAGAAGUAAAGCAGGGAGCUUCCACCUCAAAGGAAGGAACUAAGGCAGGAUGGGGUCUGUUUAUGGAGGCUGGAUGAGCAGGUAAGGAGGGAUAGUCCCUGAGCUUCUUUGUAGGUUUAGAUAUGGUGGGGUAGGGAAGAGAAAGACCU
rnacentral:lncRNA from 1 species